rnacentral:tRNA from 1 species
GGAGAGUUGGCAGAGUGGACUAUCGCGCACGCCUCGAAAGCGUGAGAGCUCGUAAGGGCUCCAGAGGUUCGAAUCCUCUACUCUCCGCCA